UGACACCAAGUUUUCUCUCUCUAGUCAGCACACAGAAGUUACUUUGGCUGCCUUUGCAGGAGAAGAGAGCAAUCUCUUGCCAUGCAGGGAGGGAGGACGUGGUGUACUUCUAGCAUCAAGUUACAUGUGGUCAAGUCAGGGGAUGCCAUACCUGCUCCCAGCCUGAAUCCUGCAAUGUGUCAGGAGGAGCAGUGCAUUCAUAACGCAGCAACAAAGACUGGAGCACUGCUGAGACAGGUAGCAGAGCUCCUUCAUUAGUGGUCACUGUUAACCCCAUCCAGUCAGUGCUGAGCAAAACGAGGACUCUGCAAACUGCAGGUAAUAUUUCCUGCUGGCUCAGCUAUAGUCAUUUAUGCAGCUUUUAGGGUAGUUUGGUGUUUUUUUCUUUCUUUUUCUGUUCCUUGCUUUUGGUGAGAUGCUAAUAAUUCGUGCAAACUCCCCCAUACACAACCAAUCUCCAUCAGAUGAUGAGACAAAAGGCUGAGAUAAGCCCCACUUCUAGCUAUACACUGUUAAAACGGGAAAAGAAAUCUGUUCAGAGAUUUUGCGAUGCAUAUGCAUGCAACAAGAAAAGCAGAGGCAGGGAAAAGAAGAGCUGGCUUGCAUGGCAGCAGGUGAGCAAUGAACCAGGGAAAAACACUUGGCUGUAACAGUCACACCCGUGUCUCAUCC
rnacentral:lncRNA from 1 species